CUUAAAAAAAAAAAUCCACCCUAGUUUGGGACACAAAAUUUAACAAUCUUACUUUGACCCAAAUCUCGGUGCAAUGAACAAAAUUCCAAAAUUUCUCCACCAAAAGAAAUAUGUCCGAUUGUAUCAAAAUAACCAAACUCCUCAAACAAUAACUAUAACUCUCCACAUCAUGAAAAACAUCAUCCUCUGCCUCACAUCCACAAGCGACACUCGAACCUUAAUCCCAGGUUUCCAAAAUUCCAACAAGAAAUAAAUAUUAACCAAAUAGGAUCUAAGCAUAACCUAUAUCAGAAUCCACACAAAAUGCUUGAAUUGAAAGCCUUUUACUAAAACUGACACCUUCAAAUACACCGAAAGCAUUAUCAUUAACAUCUGCAACACCAUACCUAUGCUCAAUGAGUUCUACCUUAGCAAUUGAACAUGAUGGAAUUGCAGAAACUGGUGGCAAAGCGGAAUUACCCAUAUCAUUAAAACUCUCCCAAGUAGUGUCCAUAAUGUUACCAAAUCUGUCCAAAUGUCCCUUAACUAAUUCUGUGCGCCCCUGCAAGAUAUACAACCGAGACAUCUUCCGUCCAUCCAUACAACCCGGACACCCUUUUGACCUACAAGACUCCAUAUCUACUAGAGAACUUGUACCCCCUUGAAUCCGUGGGAUUCAGCGAGAUGAGAUUCUUCCUUAAGUUUGACACAUAUCGAAUCUAGCCUAGUGUUCUCACAAUCCCAUCCUGCAACUUCAAUUUGACCCUAUCAAUUCCUGGUUGUUUCCCAUGAUAACUUCACUUUGCUUCACCACCUCAUAUGUUUCAAAGCAGGUCCUAUUGGGACACAUAUGAAACGAACAAGUUGAAUCCAAAAUCCAUUCCUCAUCCGGUUUAGAUUCCAUGUCAGAUAUGGUCAACAUUGCAUCUCCACCAUCCAAAAAGUCCUCGACAAUAUUGGUCUCAUCCAAAUUACAUGAUUUCCUCCCAUGAUUUGCAGCUAAAUUAUCUUUAACCUGCUACUUAUCGCAAUCUUUUUUGACGUGUCCUUUCCUCUUGCUAUAGAAGCAAUACAAAUUGCUGAAGUUCACUUCUGAUCUACCCCUCCGUUAAUCACCAUGAGAUAUCAGAGCAUCCUCAUCCCUAAAUAUAGCUUCAACCUGAUGCUCUAUCUUCUCCUUUGAGAAUAAAGUAUCAUAAACAUCUUCAAUGGUAAGUGUAUCACGACUGUACAAAAUCGUGUCCUGGAAUGACGAGUAAGAAACGGGCAGCGAAUACGACAGGAUCAAGGCUAAAUCCUUUUCAUCAUACUUAACCUCCAAUAUUUCCAAAUUCGUGAUGAUUUCCUUGAACAGAGCAAGGUGGUCUUCCAGCGAUCCUCUUUCUGCCAUGCAAUAGGAAUACGGUCUUUGCUCUCUAGAUGCAGUUUGGUUGAAAGACUUUUAGUUGUGCACAGCUGCUUCAGUUUCAACCACAAAAAAAUCGCUGUUUUCUCCUUCAAUACGUCUUGUAGGAUGUUAUUGGAGACGUGAAGAUAAAUCUGUGAUAGAGCUUUCCUAUCUUUUCGUUGUUUCUCCUCUAUUGUCCAAUUUGCUGGAAUCUUAUCAAAACCUAGCAAUGUAUCGUCUAAAUUCAUUUGUGCCAACAUAGCCCUCAUCUUUACUUGGUACAGCGAAAAUUUCGUAUUGCGAUCCAGCAGCGGAAUAUCAUAUUUCAAUGUAGCCAUCUUUGAAAAAUCCCAAUCAAAUCACGGAGAACUUGCAGCCUAACUCUAAUACCACUUGUUGGACGGGGAUUCGAUGCGAUAAUAUAGAUUAAUGAAUAAUAUGAAAUAUGUAUGAUCACAACGAAGAAAACAAGAUUAAAGUAAAGAAAUUGAAAAGAGAUUAGUAGAGAAACCGAUGUUUCAUUAAAGACUAUGAGUGGAGAAAAUACAAGAAUUCAGUAAUAAAACUUUCCCUAAACUAAAUGAAGAGCCA
rnacentral:lncRNA from 1 species